AUUGAACGCUGGCGGCAGGCCUAACACAUGCAAGUCGAGCGGAUGAGGAAAGCUUGCUUUUCGAUUCAGCGGCGGACGGGUGAGUAAUGCCUAGGAAUCUGCCUGUUAGUGGGGGAUAACUCGGGGAAACUCGGGCUAAUACCGCAUACGUCCUACGGGAGAAAGUGGGGGAUCUUCGGACCUCACGCUAACAGAUGAGCCUAGGUCGGAUUAGCUAGUAGGUGAGGUAAUGGCUCACCUAGGCGACGAUCCGUAACUGGUCUGAGAGGAUGAUCAGUCAGACUGGAACUGAGACGCGGUCCAGACUCCUACGGGAGGCAGCAGUGGGGAAUAUUGGACAAUGGGCGAAAGCCUGAUCCAGCCAUGCCGCGUGUGUGAAGAAGGUCUUCGGAUUGUAAAGCACUUUAAGUUAGGAGGAAGGGUAUUCACCUAAUACGUGGGUACUUUGACGUUACCAACAGAAUAAGCACCGGCUAACUCUGUGCCAGCCGCCGCCGUAAAAC
rnacentral:rRNA from 1 species